CCUACGGGAGGCAGCAGUGAGGAAUAUUGGUCAAUGGUCGGGAGACUGAACCAGCCAAGCCGCGUGAGGGAUGAAGGUACAGAGUAUCGUAAACCUCUUUUGUCAGGGAACAAAGGCGGGGACGUGUCCCCGGAUGAGUGUACCUGAAGAAAAAGCAUCGGAUAACUCCGUGCCAGCAGCCGCGGUAAUACGGAGGAUGCGAGCGUUAUCCGGAUUUAUUGGGUUUAAAGGGUGCGCAGGCGGUCUGUUAAGUCAGCGGUAAAAGCCCGGGGCUCAACCCCGGCCCGCCGUUGAAACUGGCAGUCUCGAGUUGGAGAGAAGUAUGCGGAAUGCGCGGUGUAGCGGUGAAAUGCAUAGAUAUCGCGCAGAACUCCGAUUGCAAAGGCAGCAUGCCGGCUCCACACUGACGCUGAGGCACGAAAGCGUGGGUAUCGAACAGGAUUAGAUACCCUGGUAGUC
rnacentral:rRNA from 1 species